UGGGGAAUUUUGCGCAAUGGGGGAAACCCUGACGCAGCAACGCCGCGUGAGUGAUGAAGGCCUUCGGGUCGUAAAGCUCUGUCUAGAGGGAAGAAGUGAUAUUUGGCUAAUACCCAGAUUUCUUGACGGUACCUGUGAAGGAAGCACCGGCUAACUCCGUGCCAGCAGCCGCGGUAAUACGGAGGGUGCGAGCGUUGUUCGGAAUUAUUGGGCGUAAAGCGCGUGUAGGCGGUUUGUUAAGUCUGAUGUGAAAGCCCUGGGCUCAACCUGGGAAGUGCAUUGGAAACUGGCGGACUUGAAUACGGGAGAGGGUAGUGGAAUUCCGAGUGUAGGAGUGAAAUCCGUAGAUAUUCGGAGGAACACCGGUGGCGAAGGCGGCUACCUGGACCGAUAUUGACGCUGAGACGCGAAAGCGUGGGUAGCAAACAGGAUUAGAUACCCUGGUAGUCCACGCCGUAAACGAUGAGUACUAGGUGUUGCGGGUAUUGA
rnacentral:rRNA from 1 species